rnacentral:tRNA from 1 species
CCGAGAUGCAAGCUCGGAGACGCACCCUAAAGGGUGCCGGGGCUUCUCCCGUUU